CUGGAAUGUCACAUCUGAAGAUAUGACCAGAAAGCUGAGGAACUAAGAUGAUCUCAAAAAAGCCAGCAGAAGCUCUUGGAAAGAUUGCCUGGAACUAUAAGCACUUCUGCCUGGCAGGAAAACAACAUGGAAAACCAAAUACUACUACUAAGGAAUUUUGAGGAAAAUUGAAUUGAAAGGAGGAGGGUGAUUAGUAUGACUUGACUGGCAUCAUGUUAGAAAAAGAGCCAUAUAAGAAAAGCUGGAUACGACACCGACAUGCCGAGUGGACUGUGCAGAUAGGCCACAGUGACUACCCCUCGGUCACAGCAUGGGCCAGCAGCAGAACUUGUGCCACCAGUGAAAACUCUCCGGACCCCAGUAAAGGCUUCA